rnacentral:rRNA from 1 species
UUCCGGUUGAUCCUGCCAGAGGCUACUGCUAUCGGGGUCCGACUAAGCCAUGCGAGUUGAGAGGGGUAAGCCCUCGGCAUAUUGCUCAGUAACACGCGGAUAACCUGCCCUUGGGUUUGGGAUAACCCCGGGAAACUGGGACUAAUACUGGAUAGAUCAAAGAAACUGGAAUGUUCUCUGAUCGAAAGCUCCGGCGCCCAAGGAUGGGUCUGCGGCCUAUCAGGUAGUAGUGGGUGUAACGUACCUACUAGCCUACGACGGGUAAGGGUUGUGAGAGCAAGAGCCCUGAGAUGGAUUCUGAGACAUGAAUCCAGGCCCUACGGGGUGCAGCAGGCGCGAAAACUUUACACUGCGGGAAACCGCGAUAAGGGGACCCCGAGUGCCAGCACCUAGUGCUGGCUGUCCAGCUGUUCAAAUAACAGUUGUUAGCAAGGGCCGGGCAAGACCGGUGCCAGCCGCCGCGGUAACACCGGCGGCCCGAGUGGUAGCCGUUAUUAUUGGGUUUAAAGGGUCCGUAGCCGGCCUAUUAAGUCUCUUGGGAAAUCUGGCGACUCAAUCGUCAGGCGUUCAAGAGAUACUGGUAGGCUUGGGACCGGGAGAGGUGGGAGGUACUCCAGGGGUAGGGGUGAAAUCUCGUAAUCCUUGGGGGACCACCGAUGGCGAAGGCAUCCCACCAGAACGGGUCCGACGGUGAGGGACGAAAGCUGGGGGCACGAACCGGAUUAGAUACCCGGGUAGUCCCAGCCGUAAACGAUGCUCGCUAGGUGUCAGGUGCGGUGCGACCGCAUCUGGUGCCGCAGUGAAAACUUGAAGCGAGUCACCUGGGAAGUACGGUCGCAAGGCUGAAACUUAAAGGAAUUGGCGGGGGAGCACUACAACGGGUGGAGCCUGCGGUUCAAUUGGAUUCAACGCCGGG